rnacentral:rRNA from 1 species
GGGGAAUAUUGCACAAUGGGCGCAAGCCUGAUGCAGCGACGCCGCGUGAGGGAUGGAGGCCUUCGGGUUGUAAACCUCUUUUGUUUGGGAGCAAGCCUUCGGGUGAGUGUACCUUUCGAAUAAGCGCCGGCUAACUACGUGCCAGCAGCCGCGGUAAUACGUAGGGCGCAAGCGUUAUCCGGAUUUAUUGGGCGUAAAGGGCUCGUAGGCGGCUCGUCGCGUCCGGUGUGAAAGUCCAUCGCUUAACGGUGGAUCUGCGCCGGGUACGGGCGGGCUGGAGUGCGGUAGGGGAGACUGGAAUUCCCGGUGUAACGGUGGAAUGUGUAGAUAUCGGGAAGAACACCGAUGGCGAAGGCAGGUCUCUGGGCCGUCACUGACGCUGAGGAGCGAAAGCGUGGGGAGCGAACAGGAUUAGAUACCCUGGUAGUCCACGCCGUAAACGGUGGACGCUGGAUGUGGGGCACGUUCCACGUGUUCCGUGUCGGAGCUAACGCGUUAAGCGUCCCGCCUGGGGAGUACGGCCGCAAGGCUAAAACUCAAAGAAAUUGACGGGGGCCCGCACAAGCGGCGGAGCAUGCGGAUUAAUUCGAUGCAACGCGAAGAACCUUACCUGGGCUUGACAUGUUCCCGACGACGCCAGAGAUGGCGUUUCCCUUCGGGGCGGGUUCACAGGUGGUGCAUGGUCGUCGUCAGCUCGUGUCGUGAGAUGUUGGGUUAAGUCCCGCAACGAGCGCAACCCUCGCCCCGUGUUGCCAGCACGUUAUGGUGGGAACUCACGGGGGACCGCCGGGGUUAACUCGGAGGAAGGUGGGGAUGACGUCAGAUCAUCAUGCCCCUUACGUCCAGGGCUUCACGCAUGCUACAAUGGCCGGUACAGCGGGAUGCGACAUGGCGACAUGGAGCGGAUCCCUGAAAACCGGUCUCAGUUCGGAUCGGAGCCUGCAACCCGGCUCCGUGAAGGCGGAGUCGCUAGUAAUCGCGGAUCAGCAACGCCGCGGUGAAUACGUUCCCG